rnacentral:rRNA from 1 species
AACCGCGAUAGGCCAAGGUUUCUGGAAAGGACAAUGGCUGAAAUCUAUAUGGCCCUUGGAUUGGACUGCGGCCGAUCAGGCUGUUGGUGAGGUAAUGGCCCACCAAACCUAUAACCGGUACGGGCUUUGAGAGAAGGAGCCCGGAGAUGGGCACUGAGACAAGGGCCCAGGCCCUAUGGGGCGCAGCAGGCGCGAAAACUCUGCAAUAGGCGAAAGCUUGACAGGGUUACUCUGAGUGAUGCCCGCUAAGGGCAUCUUUUGGCACCUCUAAAAAUGGUGCAGAAUAAGGGGUGGGCAAGUCUGGUGUCAGCCGCCGCGGUAAUACCAGCACCCCGAGUAGUCGGGACGAUUAUUGGGCCUAAAGCAUCCGUAGCUUGUUCUGCAAGUCCUCCGUUAAAUCCACCUGCUCAACAGAUGGGCUGCGGAGGAUACUACAGGGGCUAGGAGGCGGGAGAGGCAAGCGGUACUCAGUGGGUAGGGGUAAAAUCCUCUGAUCCACUGAAGACCACCAGUGGCGAAGGCGGCUUGCCAGAACGCGCUCGACGGUGAGGGAUGAAAGCUGGGGGAGCAAACCGGAUUAGAUACCCGGGUAGUCCCAGCUGUAAACGAUGCAGACUCGGUGAUGGGUUGGCUUCGCGCCAACCCAGUGCCGCAGGGAAGCCGUUAAGUCUGCCGCCCUGGGGAGUACGGUCGCAAGACUGAAACUUAAAGGAAAUU